UUCUUGCCAAGAGAAUUAAUGUGCGU
rnacentral:piRNA from 2 species